AAAGGUGCACUAUCAGGAAUAAAGAAAAAGAACUUUCCUUUUGUUGUCUAGAGGAACUGGCAAAGUUUUAGGUUUAAUGUGAUCUUGAAUGUUCUCAUCUGGAGACCUUGUCUUCUGUUCAGGUAGAUUUCAACUACCUUUUAGUAACAUAAGGCACAAUAUCCCCCUAGCUAUAUCUGUUCUCUCUGCUGGAUCAUCUUUUCUGUACAUGGAUUCCUUUUAGCAAACUGUGAGCUGGGGAUAAGGAUAAAUAACUGUUGAAUGAAGCCUCUAUGUUUAUGUCUGUCUGGAACCAGAAUAUUCUGGACCUGCUCUCUCCUAUGCAAUGUGUGAAAAGACCUGCAAUUUGCUCACUCUUCUGUUAUAAAGAUAAGAAGGAACAAAGUCUGUUCUUUCACAUAAAACUUCAUGCAGGAGGCUAAGAAGAGUUUUCCAACAAAUACAAAUGGAAGAGGCUUUUGAGGGAAUGACCUUCCACCUAAAGGUCUUAACUAGGAAGUUCCAAGAAAUUGCUACAGAAUCUAGAUGAAUAAUUACAGGGGUUAUAUGGGGACUUAACCACAACACAAUACAAAUACGUACAGUCUGCAAUACAGGCUCUAAGGGAUAGAGACUAAUUGUUAUACAAGGAAGAAACUGCUUUCCAUUUACCCUGCUUAGCUUCUUCAAGUAGUUUGCCACUGAACUGUGUGAACUAGUCUGGGAAAGCUGGGACUCUUCCAUCUCUCAUAUUUAAAGUCAUGUUGUCCAGCUUCAGAUUUGGGUGGAGAACGACGCCUCUCAUUCUGAGGCAAUCCAUUGACGGCUGGAAGACAUUAGAGUUGUUAACAUCUGUAAAGAAUUUGAGAAAUUGUGUGCGGAUAUACAGCAAUGAGCAAUACAGAGGCCACAGCAGAUCAGAGCUUCAUGGUCACCCAGGAGUUGCGUAACUGAGGAUGAUACAUGGAUUCUUUCCAGAGGAUGUCAAACCCAGUCCAUGUGAAUGAAGCAGAACUGAAAAACUUGUACUGUGUUCAAGCAGCCAUUCAAGCAAAAUCUGAGUCAGAAUUUCCCUCUCACAGCUCUGUCUGGUGUAGAGUUCUUUACUUUGAUGGGUUCCUUGACACAUCAAUAGCAUUGCAUUCCUUGUGUUUGCCUUUAACAUGGACAAACUUAAAUACAUGUAUGAAACCCUAUCUUCUUUAUGCUGAUUUCUCUAUUAUCAUAUUUGCAUUCCUCCAAAGCGUGCUCCCUCAUUUGUCUUUGUUCUCUUUCCUAGGCAGGUGGGAGGGUUAAUUAAUUAAUAUUCUUGUUGCUGGGAGGUAGAGACAUGUAGAUUAUCUCAAAAUCUACAUGGCAGGGUCAUUACAAGUAUUCAGUUGAGGCAAUGCAGGUAAUAGGGAAAUGCUUCAUCAGAAGUAUGAGAUGCCAUGGGUCUCGGGCAAUACAAUCUUCACCUCUGGGGUUUGUUCCAGCUGCUGUAGGAGUUCCUGGUUGGAUGUCUGAUCUCUCCUUGUGGUGAUGAUGGAGAGAUUCUCUGUUCUCAGUUUGGACGAACCUCUUCUGCUUUGCAACAUAAGAAGAGGCUUUGUGUAUGCUGAGCUGCUACACUUCAUGUCAUAUUUAAUUGUGUCUCCGUUCUUUGCUGCCCUUCCCCAUGCACUGAUGCACUGAUUGCAAAACUACCACUACAGCUUGCCUGCUGGUUUAUAUGCAUAAAAAUGUGGUGUAAAACUCCAGCAAACCAGCAUGCCGUAAAUUCCUCUAUGUCUGAUGAAUGCAUUGGUAAGCAGGGAUGACCAAGAUGGAGGAAAGCAGAGGGUGAGAUCAGAAAGCUUACUGAGGCCAGUGUUGUCUAAGUGUAAACUGUGGUGUCAUGCUUUGAUUGUGCAGUAAAUUAUGAUCUUUCUACAGUAAGUCAUAGUCAUUAUAGAAAACUGUUCCCUCCUCCCAUCCCCGUCGUUUUUGCAUUUUUGUAAGAUGUGUUUUCUUUGCCACAGAUAUUCUUUCAUACUUAAAAGACAUUGACUGGAAAUUAAAUUGACUUUUUUUUUUUUUCCUUAGAUAACUGGAAAUGUGAUUGCCUGCAAAACCAUGCAGGUUUUUGAGGGAGGAGGUCAUAAUCAUAUUUGCCUAUCUUUCUAGGUCUUCUUUUACACACUGUUAGGAGUAGGACUUGU
ensembl:lncRNA